CUUUUCACAUGAGCCAUAAUUUGUACUUUCUUCUCUCUUGUAGAACUACAUGAUUAAGAGAAAGUGAACCUGUUUGACUGGAAUUGUAUAUUUUCCGGCAGCUAUAUUCAUACACAGUCAUUGACUCGGUGGGAAAUAUAGUGGGCUCAUUUCUUUCAGGCUUCUUUAAAGUUGUUAGUACUUUAUUUGGAGCUCCGUUAGACUUUCUCGCAAGCAAAUCUUGCAGUAUGUUAACAAUAUAGCAGGUAUUGCAUAUGCAAUGGAUAUGCUGGAUUAUGUUGAAAAGGAGUGUUAAGUGUUUACCACUCUUUCUAUGGCAUGGGACAAUUUGAUCUAUCUGCUUUUGAAGGUUGAUAAAGUAGAAAGUUCUACUGUGGGAGAAAUUGCACAUAAACCUGCCUACUUUGUACCUGGUAAUUUUUAUUUGCAUUUAAUUAUGUAGUUGAGAAACUCGCUACAUGCUGUCUGUAAAGCUGUUUUUGCAAUUUUAUUUUAUAUCACAAAUUCAAAAUGGAGCAUCUAUAACAUCUAAUGCUAAGUGAUAAUUGUUUAUCUUUAGAAGCGUUGAAUGAACUAACAGAUGGUUGCCCUGCCUCAUAUUAUGCUGA